UUCCGGAGGCCAGAGGGCGGCAGGGCCCGGCCGCGCUUAGGCCGCGCUGGGCGGCAGCGGGGGUCGGGCCCGGCGCUGGGCGGGAGGAGGGGGCGACAUGUGGACGCCACCGCUGCCCUGGUUGCUGACGGGGCUGCUGCUGUCUGCCCGUUGCUGGGAGGUGGCGGCGGCGGCCGCCCUUCCCCGCCGGAGCGCCGCCACUGCCUCCCCUCGCCCCACGGAGGUGGCCGGCGGGGGCGCCACGCGGAGCAGCGGCAGCCGCCUGGCGGAGGUGUCGGCGCCGCCUGAGCAAGGCCAGCCCAUGACCCAGCGCGCCCUGUCCGUGCUGGUGCUGACUAGCGGAGCGCUCAUCGUCUACUUCGUGAUCCGGACCGUGCGGCUCAGAAGGCGAAACAGAAAAACCCGAAGAUACGGAGUUUUGGAUACAAACAUAGAAAACAUGGAGCUGACCCCAUUAGAGCAAGAUGAUGAUGAUGAUGAUACAACACUGUUUGAUGCCAAUCAUCCUCGAAGUUGGACAAGGGAUGUCAAGAUCACUUGAAUUUUAAAUGGGCAAGAAUUUAGUGGGCAAGAAGAUAAACACCAUUUGUCUUCAGCAUGUGAGUUCCAGAGAAAUGGAGAGGAAGAGAAGUACGUGCCUUUCAGUGAAAGAACUUAAUCUUAGAACCAGAGAAGGAGACUGCUUCAUGGAAGGACUAAGAAGCAAAAGUAUAUGCAGUUUGGAGGGGCUAAUUUAAUUUGUGUAUAUUAUGGCAUCCUUAAUUUGUUGCAAUAAAUACUGUACCAACUUGUACCUUUCUGUAUAUAGAGAAUUCUAAAUGUAAAGUCUACGGGGAGAGAGGACACUAAAAUGAAAACUUAUUUGGAAGGGAGAUUACUUUUGAAAAUGGGGUAUUUUUUGUAUGCCAUAAGUGUGGUAUACACUUUUUCUACAGUAAUCUGGAAUGUUAACAAUUUAUUUUUUUUUUUGCUGAUAUUAAAUUGUAAGUAAAUAUAGCCUCUGUGGACUCCUCAGAAUUGUUAGAACUUGAUUUUAGUUGAGGAGAUCAUUUAUUCUGUGCAAAUAAAAAGCCAAACUACUGCCUCGUGUGUUGAGAUGUUUUUUAAACUGAAUUAACAUGUUUUAUGUAAACUUUAUUGAACAAAUAAAAACUAUUUACAGUG